AGAGUUUGAUCCUGGCUCAGGAUGAACGCUAGCGGCAGGCUUAACACAUGCAAGUCGAGGGGCAGCAUGAGGAGUAGCAAUACACCUUGAUGGCGACCGGCGCAAGGGUGCGUAACGCGUGAGCAACAUUCCCGAUUCUGGGACAUAACCGGUGGAAACGCCGACUAAUUUCCCAUAACAACAGUUUUGACAUCAUUACUGUUUAAAAGAUUUAUCGGAAUCGGAUUGGCUCGCGUGAUAUUAGUUAGUUGGUGAGGUAAUGGCCCACCAAGACUACGAUAUCUAGGGGUUCUGAGAGGAAGGUCCCCCACAUUGGAACUGAGACACGGUCCAAACUCCUACGGGAGGCAGCAGUGAGGAAUAUUGGUCAAUGGCCGCAAGGCUGAACCAGCCAUGCCGCGUGAAGGUUAAGGUCCUAUGGAUUGUAAACUUCUUUUGUACGGGAGCAAUAAGUUCUACGUGUAGAGCGAUGAGAGUACCGUACGAAUAAGCAUCGGCUAACUCCGUGCCAGCAGCCGCGGUAAUACGGAGGAUGCAAGCGUUAUCCGGAUUUAUUGGGUUUAAAGGGUGCGUAGGCGGUAUGAUAAGUCAGCGGUGAAAUGUUCUCGCUCAACGAGAAAAGUGCCGUUGAUACUGUUGUACUAGAGUUCGGAUGCCGUGGGAGGAAUGUGUAGUGUAGCGGUGAAAUGCUUAGAUAUUACACAGAACACCGAUUGCGAAGGCAUCUCACGAAUCCGACACUGACGCUGAGGCACGAAAGUGUGGGGAUCAAACAGGAUUAGAUACCCUGGUAGUCCACACUGUAAACGAUGAUAACUAAACGUUGGCGAUAUACAGUCAGUGGCUAAGCGAAAGCGAUAAGUUAUCCACCUGGGGAGUACGUUCGCAAGAAUGAAACUCAAAGGAAUUGACGGGGGCCCGCACAAGCGGAGGAACAUGUGGUUUAAUUCGAUGAUACGCGAGGAACCUUACCCGGGCUUGAAAGUUACUGAAUAAUCUAGAGAUAGAUUAGCUAGCAAUAGCAGGAAACUAGGUGCUGCAUGGUUGUCGUCAGCUCGUGCCGUGAGGUGUCGGCUUAAGUGCCUUAACGAGCGCAACCCCUGUUGCUAGUUGCCAGCAUGUUAUGAUGGGAACUCUAGCAAGACUGCUACUGUAAGGUAGAGGAGGGUGGGGAUGACGUCAAAUCAGCACGGCCCUUACGUCCGGGGCGACACACGUGUUACAAUGGGGGGUACAGAGGGUUGCUACCACGCGAGUGGAUGCUAAUCUCAUAAAACCUCUCUCAGUUCGGAUCGGAGUCUGCAACUCGACUCCGUGAAGCUGGAUUCGCUAGUAAUCGCGCAUCAGCCAUGGCGCGGUGAAUACGUUCCCGGGCCUUGCACUCACCGCCCGUCA
rnacentral:rRNA from 1 species